UCCGGUUUGGCACCGGCAGUCUCCCAUGAGUCCCCGACAUAACUCGCUGGCAACAUGGGACAGGGGUUGCGCUCGUUGCGCCACUUACGGACACCACGUUUCCGUGGCUUUUCCUGCGUAGUUCAGCCCAGGUAAGGUUCUUCGCGUUGCAUCGAAUUAAGCCACAUGCUCCGCCGCUUGUGCGGGUCCCCGUCAAUUCCUUUGAGUUUUAGCCUUGCGGCCGUACUCCCCAGGCGGGGUGCUUAAUGCGUUAGCUUCGGCACAGAGGACGUCGAUAGCCCCCCACACCUAGCACCCAUCGUUUACGGCUGGGACUAC
rnacentral:misc_RNA from 1 species